GAGUUUGAUCCUGGCUCAGAUUGAACGCUAGCGGGAUGCCUUACACAUGCAAGUCGAACGGCAGCACGGACUUCGGUCUGGUGGCGAGUGGCGAACGGGUGAGUAAUGUAUCGGAACGUGCCUAGUAGCGGGGGAUAACUACGCGAAAGCGUAGCUAAUACCGCAUACGCCCUACGGGGGAAAGCAGGGGAUCGUAAGACCUUGCACUAUUAGAGCGGCCGAUAUCGGAUUAGCUAGUUGGUGGGGUAACGGCUCACCAAGGCGACGAUCCGUAGCUGGUUUGAGAGGACGACCAGCCACACUGGGACUGAGACACGGCCCAGACUCCUACGGGAGGCAGCAGUGGGGAAUUUUGGACAAUGGGGGAAACCCUGAUCCAGCCAUCCCGCGUGUGCGAUGAAGGCCUUCGGGUUGUAAAGCACUUUUGGCAGGAAAGAAACGUCCCGGGAUAAUACCCCGGGAAACUGACGGUACCUGCAGAAUAAGCACCGGCUAACUACGUGCCAGCAGCCGCGGUAAUACGUAGGGUGCAAGCGUUAAUCGGAAUUACUGGGCGUAAAGCGUGCGCAGGCGGUUCGGAAAGAAAGAUGUGAAAUCCCAGAGCUUAACUUUGGAACUGCAUUUUUAACUACCGAGCUAGAGUGUGUCAGAGGGAGGUGGAAUUCCGCGUGUAGCAGUGAAAUGCGUAGAUAUGCGGAGGAACACCGAUGGCGAAGGCAGCCUCCUGGGAUAACACUGACGCUCAUGCACGAAAGCGUGGGGAGCAAAC
rnacentral:rRNA from 1 species